rnacentral:rRNA from 1 species
AUACGUAGGUGGCGAGCGUUGUCCGGAAUUACUGGGUGUAAAGGGCGCGUAGGCGGGGAUGUAAGUCAGAUGUGAAAUUCCGGGGCUUAACUCUGGAGCUGCAUCUGAAACUAUGUCUCUUGAGUGCUGGAGAGGAAAGCGGAAUUCCUAGUGUAGCGGUGAAAUGCGUAGAUAUUAGGAGGAACACCAGUGGCGAAGGCGGCUUUCUGGACAGUAACUGACGCUGAGGCGCGAAAGCGUGGGGAGCAAACAGGAUUAGAUACCCUGGUAGUCCACGCCGUAAACGAUGGAUACUAGGUGUAGGAGGUAUCGACGCCUUCUGUGCCGGAGUUAACACAAUAAGUAUCCCACCUGGGGAGUACGACCGCAAGGUUGAA